UGAGGCCACUCGCGGGAGUGCCGGGUGCCGUGGCUGCCGUGCCUCCGCCCCCAGCCAGGGCCCCGCCGGCCUGACCGCGCCCUCGGAGCGCGCGCCCGGCACUGGCUUCUCUUAAUUCUUUGGAUUCCUACCCAAUUCUGCAGGGGAACGCAGUUGACCCCGGCUUUACCGAUGGGAAAACCGAGGCUCGGGAAGCCCCCGACUGCUAAGUGGGGGUGCCCAGUGGAGACCCCCUUCCAAAGUGAGAAGAGCUGGUCCCCCCACCCCCGAAGACCUACUGUGUGCUGAGCAGGCACUGGGGGUGCCUGACGUGUCGACAGCUCUCGUGUUGGGUGCCUGACCCAUGUGGCGUGGCCUGGGUUGUGCAGGAGAUCUGUCGCACGCUGACUCUGCGGAGCCGCUGCCAGCCGGACCCUCCGGGUCAUCCUGAAGCCGGCGAGGGCUCGGAGCUCCGUGCCAGCUGGAAACCAGCCCAGAACCCGGAGUAUGAGAUUCCAGGCCAGCGUGGCCCCGUCCUCCCUCCACCCCGCGGCCCACCCUGCGCCCACUGGCCCUCGCCCUGCCCUCCCCCUCCCUGUGGACUCAACCCCAGUCUUCACGUUGACUAGCUGCCUGCACCCCAAACCCAGCUCAAGUGCCCAGCCCCCUCUCCGGUGGCUCCUGCCCGCCAGGCCCAGAUGGGCACGCUGGCUUCAGGGAGCAUGGAUAUGCCUUCGGUCCAGGGACGAGACCUUGGUGUCCACCUGCUUCUGGGCCUUCCCUCUUGUCCUCCCUGCUCUCAAGAUAGCCUUCCAAGGAUCCUUGCCCAGGAGCCUGGGUCAGGUCACCGGUUUUGAAAAUUAUUUCAUAAAUAUAUUUCGGGGUUCUGGAGACACUGAUUAAAGUUUUCAGGUACUUAAA